UACGUAGGGUGCAAGCGUUGUCCGGAAUUAUUGGGCGUAAAGAGCUCGUAGGCGGUCCGUCACGUCGGCUGUGAAAACCUGGGGCUCAACCCCGGGCCUGCAGCCGAUACGGGCGGACUAGAAUUCGGUAGGGGAGACUGGAAUUCCUGGUGUAGCGGUGAAAUGCGUAGAUAUCAGGAGGAGCACCUGUGGCGAAAGCGGCUCACUGGACCAUAACUGACGCUGAUGCACGAAAGCUAGGGGAGCAAACAGG
rnacentral:rRNA from 1 species